rnacentral:rRNA from 1 species
CGGGUAACGGGGAAUUAGGGUUCGAUUCCGGAGAGGGAGCCUGAGAAACGGCUACCACAUCCAAGGAAGGCAGCAGGCGCGCAAAUUACCCAAUCCCGACACGGGGAGGUAGUGACAAUAAAUAACAAUAUGGGGCUCUUACGAGUCUCGUAAUUGGAAUGAGUACAAUUUAAAUCUCUUAACGAGGAACAAUUGGAGGGCAAGUCUGGUGCCAGCAGCCGCGGUAAUUCCAGCUCCAAUAGCGUAUAUUAAAGUUGUUGCAGUUAAAAAGCUCGUAGUUGAAUUUCGGGAUUUAUCCGUCGGUCGGGCUUUUGGGUCUGUACUGGCGUGAUGGAUUCCUACCUUCUGAAUAACCGGCAUGUCAUUAAUUUGGUGCGCUGGGGAAGCAGGACUGUUACCUUGAAAAAAUUAGAGUGCUUAAAGCAGGCUAUUGCCUGAAUACAUUAGCAUGGAAUAAUGAAAUAGGACGGCAUGGUUCUAUUUUGUUGGUUUCUAGGAUCACCGUAAUGAUUAAUAGGGAUAGUUGGGGGCAUUAGUAUUCAAUUGUCAGAGGUGAAAUUCUUGGAUUUAUUGAAGACUAACUUCUGCGAAAGCAUUUGCCAAGGAUGUUUUCAUUAAUCAAGAACGAAAGUUAGGGGAUCGAAGACGAUCAGAUACCGUCGUAGUCUUAACCAUAAACUAUGCCGACUAGGGAUCGGACGAUGUUAAUUUUUUAAUGACUCGUUCGGCGCCUUACGG